rnacentral:lncRNA from 1 species
AGUCCCUUUGAGAUCUCUGAGCGCACAAAGUCAGGCUGCUAUCACUCGGCUGGGGAGUCCGAACCCGGCUGGAUAAAAACUACUUGGUGCGGAACUCGCAUCUUUUCCGCCCACCGUGGGGGGGCCGCACCGGUCGGGUCCGGCCAGGAACCCGGGCGCGAGUUUGGGGGCGCAGCGGGGGCGGCGAGCGCGCGUCCCCCCGCCCGCUCAGGCAGCGUAGAGGUGCGAGCAGCUCAGCCAGCCUUGCAGAGGGAGCUCUCGGCAGCUCUGGGGUCCCUCUGCUCGCAGCCGCUGCAGCGCCGCCUGCGCCACUCGGCGGAGACGGAGACCAGCGGCGGCGACGCGCGGACUGGGAGCGACCGCCGAGCAGCCAAGCAGCUGGGAAGGCACGCAGGCCGGCAGGCUGCCCGCCCCAGAGUAAGGCCCGGUCGGUUCCCGCGCGCUCCCAGCUCCGUGCCCGCGAGCGACGACUGGAAGGGCUGUCCUUGCUCAGCGGCUUUUGGUGAUCUCUCCGCCCUAGAAGAGGGCCACCUAAAAGCGGGUGCGAGAGGAGAGUGGGAGGGCCUCCUCUUGGUGUCCCCAGGCCACCUCAGCCCGGAGAGGUGGCGGAAAACCAGACUUGAUGCUUUAACACGUUCAUAGCAAUCGCUUUUUACUGAAAGGAGUUUCUGUAUUUAGCGCUGUGUAAUUCUGUGGAAACGUGCAUUUCUUGUCUUUGCGGGAGAGCUGUUCUCUGUGGGCGGAGACCUUCAGUCCCACCCCUCCCCAGGAGGCGCCUGCGGACCCUUCCCAACCUGCAGUCAAGUUGACCAAGAACUGACUGCAAGGUGCUGGUGGCUCUGGGAUGAGAGCCUUUUGGUACUUACAGGGAAUAUGACUCUUCCCUUAGAUAUCAAAUGGACCCAAUAUCUAGGGAGCAGCUUCUUCUCCAUCCAUCUGACCGUUCCGUUGUGAGAAUGCUGGCCCAAUAACAUACUCUUUUUUUUUCCCCUAAAGGAAUAAAAAAAUCUGUAUUUUUAAGAUGUCAAAUCUCCAGAGUUUUUAGAUGUUAGCAACUGAAUCAGAUGUUUUUAAACUUCAUGAGCUGAUUAAACCACACAGAUGAGCUGUCAGUUUACGACCCCUGGCUUGGCUUGGAGGAAAGAGUGAAGAGAAAUUCCAUGGCCAAAUCCUGGGGCACUCCAAUAUUGGGAGGGUAAUGGAGAAGGAGUCUGAAAGGCAGCAUCUAGGAAGUCAUGAAAGCUAGCGCUGAGUUGUGGAAUCCCUGGGCAGAGAAGGUUUCAGGUAGGAGGCAUCAGCUGAGCGGUGUGAUAAACUUGGGCCAGAGAUGUGGCUAUUGGAUUGGGUCACCUUGCAAGUCACUGGAGAAUGUCACUGAUGGCCUUGGCUUGAUUCACGUGAGUAUAUCAGGGAGGUGGACCUGACCGGAAUGGGUUAAACAGUCACCAGGAAAGUGAGGAAAUGGAGACAGCACAUGUAUGCAAUUUGAGAGAGGUUUUGCUGUGAAGGGACCAGAUAAGUUUGGGGAUAGAUAUAGAAAGAAAUCUUUUAAAAGAUAGUAGGGGCCGGGCGCAGUGGCUCACGCCUGUUAUCCUAGCACUUUGGGAGGCCAAGGCAGGUGGAUCACCUGAGGUCAGGAGUUCGAGACCAGCCUGGCCAAUAUGGUGAAACCCGGUCUCUACUAAAAAUACAAAAAUUAGUUGGGCAUGGUAUCGCGCGCCUGUAAUCCAAGCUACUGGGGAGGCUGAGGCAGGAGAAUUGCUUGAACCCGGGAGGCAGAGGUUGCAGAGAGCCAAGAUUGGGCCACAGCACUCCAGCCUGGGCAACAAAGCGGGACUCCAUCUCAAAAAAUAAUAAUAAAUAAAAUAAAAGAUGGUAGGGUUCCCAGAGCAUGUUUAUGUGCCAUUGGGAGGGAUAUGGUGGGGAAGAAAGAUGGGUGAUCCAGGAGAGAGGAGGCUUGCUUGACCUAUAUAGGAGUGAAAUCCAUCAGAAGAUAUAAGGAAACAGGGAGGGUUGACCUUGGAGAGGAACAGGGAUGCUUCCAUUCAUGAUAAGGGCAACAAAGGUGAAGACAGAUGCAAGUGCAGGGGAGAGGGAAGGCAAGUCCUUAACAGGAUUGCCUUGGUGGCAUUGGGUACUCAUCUGAGGUUUGUGAUCAUGAUGUUAAAGGUAAACCAGUUGGCCCAGUGUGUUGGUUUUUCUCCAACAUUCAGCUGCUUGGGUACAGACAUGAAGAAAAGGGAUAGUACAGCUUCUCAACACCAGGACCCAAUUUUUCUCAUUUCUUUUUUUUUUUUUUGAGACGGAGUUUUGCUCUUAUCGCCCAGGCUGGAGUGCAAUGGUGUGAUCUCAGCUCACCACAACCUCUGCCUCCUGGGUUCAAGCGAUUCUCCUGCCUCAACCUCCUGAGUAGCUGGGAUUACAGGCAUGCGCUACCACCCCCGACUAAUUUUGUAUUUUUAGUAGAGAUGGGGUUUCUCCAUGUUGGUCAGGCUGGUCUUGAACUCCCAACCUCAGGUGAUCCGCCCGCCUCGGCCUCCCAAAGUGCUGGGAUUACAGGAGCGACUCACCGCGCCCGGCAAGUUUUCUCAUGUCUAAUCCCAGUUACUUACCUUAUACAAUUAGAUACUAUUUUAGAAAUGUGUGAAGUAUUUGAAAAAUUUACACGUGACCCUUCUUUUUCUAGAAACCAAGUUAUCCCAUUUGCCUCUUAUGUACACAUUAGGACUCAGACAUAAAGAAAAGACAAACUCAGAGGAAAAUUACCAAACAGAUGCUUCUGGAAUAUUUGCAUUUUGCAUUCUCCUCAGCCCAAAUAGUUCCUGGUAUACUUAAGAACUUAUGUACUAGAAACAACAAAGCUGACAUGCACAUAGGGAGACCUUGUUUAUACAAAAAAUUUAAAAAUUAGCUGAGUGUGGUGGCGUAUGACUGUAGUCCCAGCUACUUGGGAGGCUGAGGUGGGAAGAUCGCUUGAGCCCAGGAGGUCGAGACUACAGGGAGCCAUGUGUGUGCCACUGUACUCCAGCCUGGGUGAUGAAGCAAGACCCUGUCUCAAAAAAAUAAAAAAUAGGCCAGGCACAGUGGCUCAUGCCUGUAAUCCCAGCACUUUGGGAGGCCAAGGUAGGUGGAUUACUUGAGCCCAGGAGUUUGAGACUAGCCUGGGUAACAUGGCAAAAGCCCAUCUCUACAAAAAAUUAGCUGAACAUGGUGGUGUGUACCUGUAGUCCCAGAUACUUGGGAGGCUGAGGCAGGAGCAUCACUUGAGCCCAGGAGGUUGAAGCUGCAGUGAACCCCGAUUGCACCACUACAUUCCAGCCUGAGUGACAGAGCAAGACAUUGUCUCAAAAAUAAAAAAAAAAUUAAAAGCUGACUUGCAUUUAAACUUUAGAUUUUCUUUCUAGUAACAUUAAUAAGCUAAUUAGUUCACUUUCUCAAGAUUUUACUUCAAAUCACCUUCCUUUUUUUUUGUUUUUUGUUUUCUUUUUGUGGAGAUGAGGUCUCACUGUGUUGCCCAGGCUGGUCUCAGGCUCCAGCAAUUCUCCUGUCUUGGCCUUCCAAAGUGCUGGGAUGUAAGCCACCACACCUGUCCCCAUCUUCUUUAAGAGUAGACUACAGGAACACCUUCUAAAGCUUUUAUGUAGGCAAAUAUGAAGCAGUGGAUUUAUUUUUUUAUUUUAUUUUAUUUUUAGAUGUAAUCUCACUCUGUCGCCCAGGCUGGAAUGCAGUGGCUCGAUCUCAGCUCGCUGCAACUUCUGCUUCCUGGGUUCAAGCAAUUCUCCUGCCUCAGCCUCCCGAGUAGCUGGGACUACAGGUGUGCACUACCACUCCUGGCUAAUUUUUUGUAUUUUUAGUGGAGACGGGGUUUUGCCAUGUUGGCCAGGCUGGUCUUGAACUCCUGAUCUCAGGAGAUCCGCCCACCUCAGCCUCCCAAAGUCUUGGGAUUACAGAUGUAAGCCACCACACCCAGCCUGAGGCAGUGGAUUUAGAGGGAAAAAAGCCUCAAUUAUAUUUAUGAUUAUAUUUACAACUAUAUAUUAAUUAUAUUUAUAACUCUAUGAUCUCUGAGGCAUCAAAAGCCAGGAAUGGGGUCCAAGUGGCCUUGAAGCCUGCUUUCUGAAGACAAGGACCCUAUGUACUGCUCUCACAUAGGGCUGAGAAAAUGCGAAGGAUCACUAAGGAAGGAAGAAAAGAAAAUAUUUUCUGGCUGGGCGUAGUGGCUCACACCUGUAAUCCCAGCACUGUGGGAGGCCGAGGCAGGCGGAUUACCUGAGGUCAGGAGUUUGAGAUCAGCCUGGCCAACAUGGUGAAACCUCAUCUCUACUGAAAAUAUAAAAAUUAGCCAGGCGUGGUGGCACACCUGUAAUCCCAGCUACUCGGGAGGCUGAGGCAGGAGAAUUGCUUGAACCUGGGAGGUGGAGGUUGCAGUGAGCCGAGAUUGCGCCACUGCACACCAGCCUGGGCGACAGAGCGAGACUUCAUCUCAAAAAUAAAUAAACAAACAAAAUAUUUUCUUGUCUUUAUGGUAAAUCUUGAUGUGUCCUACUUUAUGGAGUCAGCUCCAAAGAUGAAGGAACAGAAGGCCAAACAAAAGGAAUAGAAUGUUUGAGGCUGGAAAGAAACAAGCUGAGGGAAAAUAUGAUGACAGGCUGUGAAACAGUUGAGGUGAUAAAAAUAAGGCUAGGCUGGGCACGGUGGCUCAUGCCUGUAAUCCCAGCACUUUCAGAGGCCGAGGUGGGCGGAUCACUAGGUCAAGAGAUUGAGACCAUCCUGGCCAACAUGGUGAAAUCCCGUCUCUACUGAAAAUACAGAAAUUAGCUGGGUGUGGUGGCGUGUGCCUGUAAUCCCAGCUACUCAGGAGGCUGAGGCAGGAGAAUCGCUUGAACCUGGGAGGCGGAGGUUGCAGUGAGCAGAGAUCGCACCACUCCACUCCAGCCUGGCGACAGAGUGAGACUCUGUCUCAAAAAAAAAAAAAAAAAAGAUCUGGCCUUGAGCCUCACGUACAGGACCAGAAACCCAAUGUGGUUUGUACCCUAAGAGCAGAUUCCUUCCUCGGGGAUUUGUCAGGCUCACAGGCGCUUGCUAGAUAAGCAGAGUGCUGUUAACAACGGGCAAGUGGACCAGUGUCCUCGUGCUGGCAAAAGGCAUAUUGAUCCCCUAUAGGAGAGCAUUCGGGGAAGCCAAAUUACUAGAAAUAUUUGAUGAGCAGUUAAUUAGAUUAACUAGUGUUAGUUAUGUAACUUAAAUGUUUAAUGUCACCCUCUCUGGAUGCUAGAAUUAGAUUGUUCGGGAUUCAAGUCUAGUCUUGGUUUUUUAUUAGCCGUGUGGUCUCUGUUGAAUUCGUAACAACUCAACUAUAGAUUUCUCUUCUAUAAAAUGGGAUGAUAGGUUGGGCGUGGUGGCUCAUGCCUGUAAUCACAGCACUUUGGGAGGCCAAGGCAGGUGGAUCACCUAUGGUCAGGAGUUCAAGACCAAAAAUACAAAAAUUAGCCAGGUACGAUAGUGGGUGCCUGUAAUCCCAGCUACUCAGGAGGCUGAGGCGGGAGAACUGCUUGAAUCUGGAAGGCAGGGGUUGCAGUGAGCCGAGAUCGCGCCACUGCACUCCAGCCUGGGUGACAGAGGAGACUCUGUCUCAAAAAAAUAAAUAAAUAAAAUGGGAUGAUCAUUGUGCUUGAUACAGCCAUAAGGAUUAGACAAGAAAUAAAGCAGCUUUUUUUUUUUUUUUUUUUUUUGAGACAGGGUCGCAUUGUCCACUGUUGCCCAGGCUGGGGUGUGGAGUGCAGUGGCGAACUCUGCUCACUGCAACCUUUGCCUCAGCAUUCUGAGUUGCUGGGACUAUAGGCGAGUGCCAACACACCUGGCUAAGGUUUUUUGUUUUUUGUAGAGAUGGGGGUCUUACUAUGUUGCCCAGGCUGGUCUCGAACUCCUGGUGUGAAGCAAUCCUCCUACCUCAGCCUCCCAAAGUGCUGGGAUUACAGGCAUGAGCCACUGCACCCAGCCAGAAAUCAUUAUCCUAUGAUUCUCAGGAGAACAGUUGUAUUUCCAAGAUCUUCCUUGGCUCCUAUUGUUACCCCUGUAAAGCUUGCAAUAAUUAUGAUCAUUUACAUGUUUUUUAAAAACUCUUUAAUCAAGAUAAUCAACAAACGAAGGGGAGACAUAUUGAUUUUCUAAGACAUAAUGAGCAGGGAAUCUUCCUGCCCUCCUUGGGGUAAGGCCUAAAGUUACAUGUGAACACUCUGGUUUUCUCUAUACCUGUUGAGAACAUGUGUGAGACAUGAUGCAGCUCAUCAAGUAAUUAUUGAAUACUUGGUGUGUGUAGCUUCCUGUUCUAGGCACUGGAGAUUCAAAGAUGACUCACGAUGUGUUUCCUGCCCUUGGACUCAAAAUUUAACUAGUAAAACUGGUUAAAACAAACACACAAAAAAUUAAUGCAAUAACUGUUAUAGUGGAAAGAAAUGAGCUCACAGCUAAAGGAGUAAAUCACUCCAGGAGUAUCUCAUUUCAGCUGGGUCUAAAGGAUUAGCAAAGCAUUAACAAGUGACACGAAGACAUGUAAGGUGAAGAGCCAUGAUCAAAGGCAUAAAAGUCUACAAGAGUAUUUGGGGGACAGCGAGUCAUCUUACACCAUUGGAUGAGGGUGUAGAGUAGUGAUGCUAAACCUUUAAAGACAUUUGGAAAGCUUUCAUUGUCUGCCAACAUCAACUGCCAAGCCUAACCACUUCUAACAUUUAAAUUUUUUUUUUCCCCAAGAUGGAGUCUUGCUCUGUUGCCCAGCCUGGAGUGCAGUGGUGCAAUCUUGGCUCAUUGCAACCUCUGCCUCCCAGGUUUAAGCAAUUCUCCUGCCUGAACCUCCCAAAUUGCUGGGAUUACAGACACGCACCACCAUGCCCAGCUAAUUUUUGUAUUUUUAGUAGAGAUGGGUUUCACCAUGUUGGCCAGGCUGGUCUCAAUCUCCUGACCUCACGAUCUGCCUGCCUCGGCCUCCCAAAGUGCUGGGAUUACAGGCAUGAGCCACCAAGCCCGGCCUAUUCUAACAUUUUAAAGACUCAUCCUUCCAUAUCAUCUCCUGCCUAGACUGUAGGAGUUUUUUUCCUUAUUAAUGUCUGCUUUCUUCAGACCCCUGUGAAAGCCUUAUUUAUUUAUUUAUUUAUUUAUUUAUUUAUUUAUUUAUUUAUUUAUUUUGAGACGGAGUUUUGCUCUUGUUGCCCAGGCUGGAGUACAAUGGCAUGAUUUUGGCUCACCACAACCUCCACCUCCCGGGUUCAAGCAAUUCUCCCGCCUCAGCCUCCCAAGUAGCUGGGAUUACAGGCAUGCGCCACCAUGCCCGGCUAAUUUUGUAUUUUUAGUAGAGACGGGGUUUCUCCAUGUUAGUCAGGCUGAUCUGGAAUUCCCAACCUCAUGUGAUCUGCCCACCUCAGCCUCCCAAAGAGCUGGGAUUACAGUCGUGAGCCACCACGCCGGCCUAUUUAUUUAUUUAUUUAUUUUGAGGUGGAGUCUCGCUGUGUCGCUCAGGCUGGAGUGCAGUGGCGAGAUCUCGACUCACUGCAGCUUCCGCCUCCCAGAUUCAAGCAAUUCUCCUGCCUCAGCCUCCUGAGUAGCUGGGACUACAGGUAUGUGCCACCAUGCCCAGCUAAUGUUUUUGUAUUUUUAGUAGAGAUGGGGUUUCACCCUGUUAGCCAGGAUGGUCUCGAUCUCCUGACCUUGUGAUCUGCCCGCCUCAGCCUCCCAAAGUGCUGGGGUUACCCCGGCCAGCCAUAUUUAUUUUUUACCUCUCAGCUCAAAUGACUGCUCUUAAAGGUAUAAAGGACUGUUGCUAAACCUAUAUCCAAUGUUUUAGAAGUUGAUUUUGUUUUCUGUGCUGUUACUUACUUUUCCAAACAUGCAUGGAUCACCCUUUAUAAUCCAUCUCUAUAUUUUUCAUUUUGCAAAACACCUUCAUGUCUGCCUUUUCAAGUGAUGCUCACAGCUCUAUUUGAUCAGCCAGGCAGUUUUGUCCUAAAUUCAGAAAUGAAGUGACUUGCUCAGGGUUGUCCGGCAACUUGUUGGCAAAAUCAGAAUGAGUACAGUAGUCUCCCCCUUGUUCACAGCUUCACUUUCUGCUAUUUUCUGCUAUUGGUUACACAUGGUCAACUGCAGUCUGAAAAUACUAAAUGGAAACUUCCAGAAAUCAUGUUUCGAAUUGCACACCAUUCUGAGUAGAGUGGUGAAAUCUCACAACAUCCUGCUGCAUACUGCCUGGAAUGUGACUCGUUCCAUUGUCCAGCAUACCCAUGCUGUAUAUACUACCCACCUAUUAGCCACUUAGUAGCCAUCUCAGUUAUCAGAUUGAUAACACAUACUAUAUAUAGGAUUCAGGACUAUCCUUGAUUUCAGACAUCCACCAGAGAGCUUGGAACAUAUCCCCCAUAAAAAAUGGGGGACUGUAGGCUUGGUGUGAUGGCAAUCACGGCCUAUAAUCCCAGCACUUUGGGAGGCUAAGGUGGGUGGAUCACGAGGUCAGGAGUUCGAGACCAGCCUGACCAACAUGGUGAAACCCCGUCUCUACUAAAAAUACAAAAAUUAGCUGGUUGUGGUGGUGUGUGCCUGUCAUCCCAUCUACUCAGCAGGCUGAGGCAGGGGAAUCACUUGAACCUGGGAGGUAGAGGUUGCAGUGAGCCAAGAUUGCACCACUGCACUCCAGCCUGGGCGACAGAGCGAGACUCUGUCUCAGGAAAAAAAAAAAAAAAAAAGAUGGGAUCUCACUCUGUCACCCAGGCUGAAGUGCAAUGGCGUAAUCAUAGCUCACUGCAGCCUUUAACUCCUGGGCUCAAGCAAUCCUCCUGAGUCGCUAGGACUACAGGCACAUGCCACCAUGUCUGGCUAAUUAAAAAAAAAAGAAUUAUUUAUAGAGACAGGGUCUCACUAUGUUGCCCAGGCUGGGAAGGGCUUUAAUUGUGGAAACUUCAGGCUCUCAGGCAGACAGCAGAGGUAUUUAGGUGAUGACUUAUUAAUCUACAAGUAUGUCCUGAAUAACUGCUUAGGACCCAGGUCUAUGUUCAAGGUUAGGUACUACCAGAGAUAGAUAGAGGAUGUCCCUAGCCCUCGAGUGCCUUCUAUUUCGUUUUAUAUUAGUGUGGAAAUAUCAGACUAAACCUUGAGUAUUAGAAGGUAAAAGUCAAGGAUGAAAAGGGAAGUGUAAAGGUAUAGGCUACAGGUGUGGAAGGAAUGGAGCGGAGCAGUCACUGGACAUCACAGUAGUCAUAUGAAACCGCAUGCUAAAGCGAGCAUGACUUUCAAGCCUCUGCUUCUAGCCUUUACCCACUCUGGCCCAGGCUACUCUUGCUUCUUUUUUUUUUUUUUUUUUGAGAUGGGGUCUCACUCUGUUGCCCAGGCUAUCAGGCAGUGGUGCAGUCACAGCUCACGCAGCCCUAACCUCCCAGGCUCAAGUUAUCCUCCUGCUUCAGCCUCCUCAGUAGCUGAUGCUACAGGUGCACACCACCGUGCCCAGCUAAUUUUUGUAUUUUUUGUAGAGAUGGGGUUUUGCCAUGUUGCCUAGGCUGGUCUCAAACUCCUGAGCUCAAGCAAUCCACCUGCUUCAGCCUCCCAAAGUGCUGGGAUUAUAAGCGUGAGCCACCAGGCCCAGACUCUUGCUUCUUCUAAUGUAACUGCAGGCUCCUCCCUGCUUCCGGCCUCCUCCCUCUCACAGCUGCCAGAGUGACCUUCCCAAAGCACACACGUGAUCACAAAACCCCCCUGCUUCAAGCCCACUGGUGGCUCCCCGGUACCCUGGGAUAAAUUCCAAACUCAGCCACUCCACAAGGCCUCCCAUGCUCACCAAGCCCCUGCUCACCCCCUCAGCCUCAUCUCUAACUGCCCCCUCUGGCCCCUGGGGAUUCAGCUUGCUUGCUUCCUCCACCAGUCUGACCUCAGUCCUCCCUCCCUCUGUUGUCCCCUCCUCAGGCUUCUGUUCCAUUCCUUAAUUGGGAUCCUGGUGGUGAAAGUGCAUUCUAAAGCGCUAUGCCCCAUGGGGGGGACUAGGGAGAGUGUUUGAGUUUCCAGGCUUCUUCCACACUGAACAUAUGGUACUUUCACACUCAAAGUGCUUUUCAGGUUGCUUUUGACAUAAGACAAGGCCAUCAGUUGGGGAGGUGUAUGUAAGGGAAACCAGAGCUAGAGACAGGUUUUAGAGGUAUUCAUCAGAAGAUAUUUCUGGACCACUUACUGUGUAUCUGGCCUUGGGUGCUGGGCAUAGCAAAGGCAGAUGCAGCCUGAACAAAUAGAGAAUUGGCUGGCCCUACGCCAGAUUUGCUGAAUUGGAAUCUCCAGGGAAGUUCUCAGGUGAAUCUUAGAACUGGGUAAGUUGGAAAGCCCUAACCUGAUUUCAUUUGUAAGACAUAUCCAGGAUAGGCAAAUCUGUAGAGACAGAAAGUAGAUUAGUGGUUGCCUGGGGGUAGGGUGGAGAAUAUGGAAGCGCAGGGAUGACAGCUAAGGGGUGCAGGGUUUCUUUUUGGGUUGAUGAAAAUGUUCUAAAAUUGUGGUGAUGGCUGUGCAACUCUGAAUAUACUAAAAGCCAUUGAAUUGUACACUUUAAGUAUUUAUUUAUUUUUUUGAGAUGGAGUCUCACUCUUCACCUAGGUUGGAGUGCAGUGGCAUGAUCUAACUCACCGCAACCUCCACCUCCCGGGUUCAAGAGAUUCUUCUGCCUCAGCCUCCCAAGUAGCUGGGAUUAGAAGCAUCCACUACCAUGCCCAGCUAAUUUUUGUAUUUUUUAAGUAGAGACAACAUGGGGUUUCACCAUGUUGGCCAGGCUGGUCUGGAACUCCUGACCUCAGGUAGUCCACCUGCCUUGGCCUCCAAAAGUGCUGGGAUUAUAGGCAUGAGCCACUGCGCCUGGCCAAAUUGUACACUUUAAAUGGUUGAAUUGCAUGGUAGGUGCGCUAAAUCUCAAAAAGAGCUGUUUAAAAAAAAUAAAAAGGCUGGGUGUGAUGCCUCAUACCUGUGAUCCCAGCACUUUAGAAGGCCAAGGUGGGAGGAUCACUUGAGGCCAGCCUGGGCGACAUAGUGAGACCACCUCUUUAGCAGGGCAUAGUGGUGUGUGCCUAUAGUCCCAGCUACUUGGUAGGCUGAGGUAGGAGGAUCCCUUGAGCCCAGGAGUUCAAGGUUACGGUGAGCUAUGAUCAUACCACUGCACUCCAGCCAGGACAACAGAGCAAGACCCUGUCCCAAAAACAAAACAAAACACUUGGACCAAGUUCUAGAGGGAAGGCACCCACCUCAGACCUGGGUGGUUACCCAGUAAAAUUGUCAGCAUAUAUUAUGAAUGUAUGUUCCAGAGGGUACAAAGUAAAUAAGCAAUUGCAGGCCAGGUGCGGUGGCUCACGCCUGUCAUCCCGCACUUUGGGCGGCCAGGGUGGGUGGAUCACCUGAGGUAAGGAGUUUGAGACCAGCCUGACCAACAUGGAGAAACGCCGUCUCUACUAAAAAUACAAAAUUAGCCGGGUGUGGUGGCACAUGCCUGUAAUCCCAGCUACUCGGGAGGCUGAGGCAGGACAAUCGCUUGAACCCAGGAGGCAGAGGUUGUGGUGAGCUGAGAUCACGCCAUUGCACUCCAGCCUGGGCAACAAGAGUGAAACUCUAUCUCAAAAAAUAAAUAAAUAAAUAAAAUAAGCAAUUGCAAUGAAGUGUGAUUAGUCUUAUAGAAGGGAAAGCGCAGGCUCCUGUGACAAGAGCAGGUGGGCAUGCAGCUUGCUAAAGAAAUAUAUGGGCCAGGUGCCGUGGCUCACACCUGUAAUCCCAGCAGUUUGGGAGGCUGAGGCGGGUGGGUCACUUGGGGUUAGGAGUUAGAGACCAGCCUGGCCAACAAGGUGAAACCUCGUCUCUACUAAAAAUACAAAAAUUAGCUGGUUGUGGUGGCGGGCAUCUGUAAUCCCAGCAACUCCAGAGGCUGAGGCACAAGAAUUGCUUGAACCCGGGAGGCAGAAGUUACAGUGAGCCGAGAUUGCGCCACUGCACUCAGCCUGGGCAGCAGCGCAAGACUCCAUAUCAAAAAAAUAUAUAUUUAGGGCAUUUAAUUGGGAGGAUUCUGAUGGCUGGGAUGUGGGUACAGAGGAAAGAGUAAGGAUGAGGCUCUGUUAUAUGGCUUGGGUACCUGGGAAAUUGGUAACCCCUAGAGCUGUUGGAGGAGAAACAAGUUUUGAGAAGAUGUUGAGUCUGAUUUUGAGCAUGUUGAGUUUGAAAUGCCCCAGAUGUUCAAAAGGAAGUGUCCAGUGAGCAGCUGGAUGUGGGGGUCUGGAAGCAAGGUAAGAACCAUGUGAAUGAUUGGCAUGCAGCCUCAGCAUGUGGAUGGAAGCCAGCAGAAUGGGGAGGUCAUCUAGGGGUAUGUUUUGAGAGAGAGGAAAGGGCCUAGAAUGGAACCCUGUGGGGCGAUUUUUAUUUUUUAAGUAGAGACAACAUGGGGUUUCACCAUGUUAAGACAUGCCUGAGGAGGAGGAGAAGGUUGUAAGGAAAUUAAGAGGAGACAGUUAGAAACCUAGGUGUUGCGUAUAGCAAUUCAGCUGCUCUCAGUCAGCAUUCACUGAGUGUCCAUAUGCCCUGGGUGUAUCUGGAGACAAGUGAGACUUGACCCUUGACAUUAAACUCAGAGUAGUGGCCAUCACCCAAUUGCCGUCAACCUUCUGAAACAAGAGACCCCUUUCUCGCAGGCCAAUGUCAGUCCUAUUUUCUAAAUGAUAGAUUGUGCUUCAUUAGCAGUUUAUAUGAGGCACUGGAGUCCUUCCCAAGCUUACCCUCCUGUAUCACCCAGGCCCAGAAAAGCCAGGCCUUGCAGCCAAGCCAAGAGCCUUCUGUCCAUGGGAGAUGGAUGGCCUGAAAGGGACACUCCAGGAUUGUCUGGGGUGGGGAGGGGGGUAUGGAGGGAAAGGAGGGUCAUGUCAUAUGUCUGGGGUUCAGCAAAUUGUACCCACAUACCAGGCACAGAAACAUACAAGGAAGGCACCCCCGCUCUGUGGGCGAGACAAAGCAGCAAUCCUCUUCCCACAUGCCAACCCAUCUUUUUCUUUGCCUUCACAAACGUGCCUUUUUUCUUUCUUCUUUUUUUGGUCCUCUGCAGCUUGGAAUACAUGAGGAAGAAGAGUGGGAGACAGGAGGAAAGGUAAGGUUGGGAGAGGGCAAGAGGAAAGGAGGAGAGUAGAGGGAACACUCCAUCGAUUGCCAGCACAAUAAACUGUAUCAUGGACUACUUCAGCCUGGCCCCUGCUUUGCAGUGUGCGUGGAGCAGUUUCCUCUGGGCAGAGUCUCAGAGAUGAUGGCCAAGGCGACUGUGGCCUCAAUGGACUUAACUGAUAGGGCACUUCUCAGUGUGUCACAGGCCUUGGAGGCCCACUUCCAUCUGUCCCCUCAGAGGCUGGGCAGACGCUUUCCCUGCCCUGAUACCUUUGACUCAUGAUGGUAUCGUCAACUGCCCAUCACCUGAGGCAAGGGGCUCCCAACUGUCCUCAGUCCCAAACAGCAGGAACACCUGCCUCCCUGACCCACAUGACAGCAGGGUAGGGGGUGGGAGAAUGCUAUGGGCAGGUUUGCCCUGUGGGAGGCCCCUGUGAGGCAGAGGGGGUCAGGAGAGAUACAGAGGUGGGAGGACAAGGGUUCUCUCUGCCCCUCCACCAUCUCAGGAACCUGGGCAUGGGCCUGGGUGUAGGAGGCCAUCCAGCCUGCCUUCAAGCCACUGAUGGAGAGAGGCUGACUGGCUGUCCUGGGGUUGAUUCAUGCUGCUCUGAGCCAGAUAGGCAUCAUGUGCUUCACCUGGCUGUGCUCACAGUGCCCUCAUUCCAGCUCCUGUCCCCUUCCGAUCCUCACACCCACCCCUGGCUAGAGCUGAAUACUAGGCUCUGGCCUCAGGACUCUGCAGAGCACAGAGUCUAGGGUCUGUCCCUUCCCAGCAUUGGAGAGCAGGGAUUCUUAGUGACAACGCCAGUGGACCCCUUGGCUGGGAUGAUGACAUUUUUCCAUCCUCCAUUUCUUGCCCAAGCCCUGCUCUCUCCUGUGUACUGAGCUGUGAGCUCAUGCAGGCUCAGUCACCCCCAUCUGCACUUUCCCAGGACCUGGUCAACCAGUGUUCACUUCCUCUUCCCCCACCAUGACAGGCUAUGCUUUUGAUGCAGGUGGAUAGCCCUGCUCUACCAAUGGGCCUCUUGUGGGGGCCUCAGGACUGAGGGCUGCUAGGGGCGGUUCUGGGAUUGCCGGCCUCCUCCAGGGACCCCUGGGGCAGGCCCCAGCUGUGGCCAGCCUUGGGUGCUGGCCUGGUCUCCAUCAUUUGUUUGCCUCCUCUGCCCCAUGCUGCUCCAGCUCACCACCCCAAAUACUGAGCUGCACCAUCCCGUGCCACCCUUCGUUACCCAGAGAGCAAAGAGCCGCGCCAGUGUGCAGAGGGCUGCCUGCCUGCCCCUGCCCACCCUCGCCCCAGCGUCUGGAAUGAGCCACUUGCAUCCACACAGGUGCUUCCUGUGCUUCUUCCUGUUGCCGUUUUUUCUGCUCAGCUUGGCUUCCCCAGCAGGUGGUUAAAGCCCCAGCCAAACCUCUUCAUACCUAGCUCUAAAACACUGGGGGGCAGGGCUCCCUGGGGAUCUGGGUCACCCUCCAGAGGACUGUUGGCACUUCACUGGCUCUUCCUGAGGGCAGGCUCCCCAACGUGACACGUCCUGCACAGGCCAAGCUGCUGCCACAGGUACUGGGACAUCAGAGUGGCCUCAAUGAGUCAGGGAAGUGCUGCGUAUGCACCACCUCCUUGCCCCUGGAUACUGGAAGUGCUGAGGGAGAGGGGAAGGGUGGAGAGCCUGUUUCUCUAGCCACGGGUGUGGGCCUCCCUCAGCCCCUCCUUAGAACAGGCCUGCCAUCCUGAAGUCCCACCCCACACUCCAGUUCCUCACGCAGGACUCAGCCUUCUGGGGUUAACACAUUCACUGGCCAGGCAGCUCUGGGGCAAGGCGAGGCGGGGCAAAGGCAAGCCCUCUCCUGGGAUCUCUGCUUCCUGAAGCAGCACAGGUUGGCCGGCUGUUGGGGAUCACAGAGUUCAGGCACGUUUGUUAUUAUAGAGGGGGAGACAGCUGGAGAGGGAAGGGACUUGCUGUCUUGGGUCACAGGUUAGCCAUCCAGGUCUCCUGCCUCCCAGGUCCCAGCUCUUCCCCUCCGCAAGGAGCUCCUCUCCCCUGCCAUCCAGCUUCAAGGAGCUCCUUCAGCCCCCUCUGCAGAAAGCUGCCCAGGCUGCAGAAGACCCAAACCUGGCAUCUGCUGACGCGGAUCUGCUGCCCCCUGGUGGGCAGAAGCUCCAGCCACCCCGUGCCUCCUUUCCCUUCCUGUUUUUCCUUUCCCUUCCCCUUUGCUCCCAGGCCACAGCCUGGGAUUGGCACCCUUUGGUGUUUUCUGGGCCAACUCCAGUUUAGCUCCACCUUGGGCCGUAGUUCCCAGGCCCAGGGUAGGCCCCACCUGCAGGCUGAACCACCCUUUUCCCCUGCUCUCUUCUCCAAGCCCAGUUCCAGCCUCUGGGCUUUCUUCCACCUGAAUUUCCAGGGCAAGUGCACAUGGCACUGUCACAGCUGCAGUGUGAACACACCAGUGUCAGGCAGGGCCACAGCCAGAGGGUGUUGGAGCAGAGGGUCAGGAGUGUACCAGGCCAUGUAGGAAAGACAUUUUGCUUUUUUAUUUUCUGUAAAACUCUGUAAAUAAAAUACAAAACCAAGGGAUGUGGCUGGGCAGCGGCAGGGUGGCCAAGCCCCAGACACUGAUUUGUGGCAAGGGAUGUGCUGAGCCGAGGCUGGGAGGCACUUGACUGCAGGCACUGACUCUCCAACCCCAGGGGCAACAGAAGAAUAUAUUAGAUUUUCAUUGCUAGGAAUCUGUGGGGGAGGGGUAUCUGGAGCCAGCCCUUACCCUCCCUGCCAGUGCCUGGUGAGCCCUGAAAGUGGGGGGAAAGGGGCACCAGGAACCCAUGGGUGAAUAGUUUAGAAUGCUGUGCUGGCCAUGCUGCCAGGCCCAAAGAUGCGGGGCAGGGCGUCCAGGGACUCCUCCAGCCGUCGAUGGGCAGACUGUCCCUCUUCUCCUGUAAUGAGUGAGGAUGAGGUCAAGGGUGGCCCUAGCCCCAUCCCACUCUCCCACCCCUGGCGCCAUCUCUCCUACUCCCAUCAGCCAAGAUGUCCCAGAACUCCACCCAUCUCUUCCAUCCCCCAGCCUCACCACACUGCUGUAGGCUUUGCCGGGCAGCUUCCCUCACAGCUUCUGUGUCAGUUUGGCAGAGGUACACCAGGGGCUCAAUGCCCUCGGGAGCCUGUCAGGGGAGGGAGCCUUGAUGCAGCCUAGGGCCAGGCAGCCAGCCACUCGAGUCUGCACGUCCUCAUCCUCCAGCUGGUCCAGGAAGCACAGGAGGGCCUGUGGAAGGGUGGGAGGACAGACUUAGCCAGACAGUGGGAGUCCAGGACCCCAGCCCUCGCCCUCAAGGGAGCCCUGUCCAACUCACCCUCUCCCGGAAGGUAGGGCCCAGUGACAGGCUCCGGAGCUGGGUGCUGACAGCAGCCAUGACCUUGUUGUUGCCAUGGACGAGCAGGGAGCUGAGGGCCCGCAGCCCGUCCCUUCGCAGACGCCCCUCGGGCGCCAAUCUCAGGGCCUUCAGCACAACAGCCUGAUCAUCCGAGUUCAGAUUCCGCACCAGUAGCACUGAAAAAAGGGGAUAUGGUGGGUGGGUGGGCAAGGUGGCAGGGUGAGGAGCCCCCGAGGUUGGGGAGGGCUUGUCCUCAUGUCCUCAGACCCCAAGAGGCCACUAUGUGAUCAGGGCCACCGCCUCACCCUCCUCAGCGGUCUCAGUCACGUAGGCCUCCAUGGUGGGGCUGUCCAAGGUUUCCACAAAACUCCAGAACUGGAAGACUGUGAGCUGCUCUCCAGGCCCUGGCUGGGGCCUUCUGGGCAGCUUCUGCCCCAGGGCAUCCUCCAGGAACUUCACACACACUGCAGGAGGCAGUAGCAUGGGCCUCAGAGUUUGGGUGAACACAGCUUUUAGAGGGGAGAGAUGCUCCUAUCCCAGGCUCAGGUCCAGGGGCCCCCUGUUCAAACCCCACCCAUCUGGGUCCUUCUGCUCUAAGGCCCAAGUCUUUGCUGGUCUCCUCGGUGCCCAGUUCGUUUAUCUGUGUGGGCUGACCUGGCUUCCCCGAGCUUCCUGUCACUGGGAAUCUGAGCAAGGGUGGAAGGAGGAAGCAGCCCACUCACCAGCCUCAGCCAAGCCUGGCUGGCGCAGGGAGAGGCGGGCACCAUACUGGUUGCAGAAGGUGAGAAGCACCCGCUCCACCGGGCAGAGGAAGCAGCUGAGUCUCUCUGUGCACUGGUCCCAGAAGGUCAGGAAGCCAGGCCGAGAGGCCGAGAACUGCACCACUGUGAGGGGGUGAGGGAAACCGUCAGCAACAGGCAGGCAGGUGAGUAGAGAGCAUGCAGAUGGCAGUAGGCUGAGGUAGGAGCUUCAAGGCAGAUGGCAGAGCCCGAACCCCCAGGGCCUUUACCUUCCUGGGCAGAGCUGGCCGGGAUCUCCCACCGCCUGCUGAACUCGCAUACUGCCUCCAGUACUCGGGCUUCCCGCAGCAGCCGCUCCAGGGCCCAUGCCUCCUGGCAGCGCAGGGGCCCAAAUGUGCCCAGUUUCUGGAGAACAUGGGUGGCCAAGUAGCUCAGGCCUCAGGGUAGGGCUCGGGAGGAUCGUGCUCAGGGACAAGUCCCAGCAUGCACUGGGGGAGGUUGGGGUUGCAGAGUUGGGAGAUACUCCAUUCAGCAAGGGCCAGAUGCCAAGGGCCCUGGGGCACUGGGGUGUGGCACUCAGAGGAGGUAUAGAGGACCAGGAUGGAAGGGCAGGACUCCCUGGGGUUAGGGGUUACAAAGGAAGGGUGGGGGAACACCAUCAGCCUCACCAGCAGGAGGCGACUGCAGUGGUACAGGUGCCGGACCAAGGCAGCAUCCAGAGCUGGACACCCCGUGCUGAGGGGGCGGGCACUGGGUGAGUCUAUGCUGUCCUCAGCCCCAGCCUCCGGGCUGCUUGGAGGCCUGAGGGAAAAAUGGGGUCCACCACCCCACAGGCACACAUCACCACCUGGUCACCAGCGUUUAUUUUUAUUAAGCUUCCCCCAUGCCAGAAAGGAAGAAGAUGAUGCACCGACAGCAGACAGUGGGGUAAGUUCAUGGAGGAUUUCCAGAAGGAGGAAGGGGCUGGGACCAGCAGGUGGUAGUAGGGAUCUCUGGAGUCAGUCUGCGCCAUGCUACCUCCAGCUGGGACCACUGGGGAUGGCAUGGGUAGGAGUAGGCUGCAGGCGGGAUGGUUUAUGACAAGUGGACUGCAAAGGGUGCAGGGCAUGGGGCUGUAGCCUGGGCAGCAGCAGAGGAAGGAGGGACCUGGCACAACUCUCAACUGGGAACCAGCAAAGGCCACUCCAGGACUGACAGUUGAGGGGCCAGGGCCUCUGGGAGAGUCGGGGUUGAGAAGGAGUGGGGCAGUGCUGGGGUCCCAGGGUGCACGGCGAGACACUGAGAGAGCUCCUUAAAGGGCAGGUCCAAGGUGAGGCCAAGGGGAAGAGGAGGGGCUGGAGGCACCCAAGCUGAUGGGGACCGGCAGGGGAGGCAGACAUUGCAGAGAUGAAGAGGGCGGUCAGAAGCACUGGGGACACACGUAGGGUUGGAGACAUGGGCAUGAAGGACAUGGGAGGGGUGGACACAGGUGCACCUGCCAGCAACUCAGUCCUCACAUGCUCCACCUGGCCCUGCCUCACCUGUCCUGUCCUUUGACUUUCUCCCAAUUCACCUGUUCCACCUUCCCCUGGUCCUGCCUCACCUUUUCCCUCUCACCUAGCCUCACACCCAUCUUGCCUAGCCCCCUCACCUGUCCCCAGGAACAUCAUUGUCUUCAUCUUCGUCUUCAUUGAGGAAGCUGAAGCUCUCCAAGGCAUGCUCCACAGUGAUGCUGAGACUGGAGGCCCGGCUGCGAGUCAGACCUUGUCUCUGCUGAGGUUGUGAAGGGCAUCAGAGCGGCUGCCGCCCCCUGGCUGCCCUCCCUGGUUGCCCUAGCCCAGCCCAGCCCUCCUCACCAUGAGCAGACUUUCUAGGCGGGUCACCUCCUGCUCCAGGCCCUGCAGCUCAGGAAACUGGCCACGGUAGUCAUCCAGGGCAGCCAUUAGGGCCCCCAGUGCCUCCUCCAGGCUCCUGUCCCCAGACCCUCCGGCUGCCGUUGGGACUGGGGUCUGGACAGCCAUGGCCAGGCAAAGGUCUGAAUGCUGGGGUGCAGGGGUUGGGGGUGAGGGAGUGGGGCUUAGACUCUGAACCGUAGACUCUGAGGGAUCUGGGGCAGGGCUUGUGAGGGGUUUCCUACUGGAAUGGGCAGGACUUGGGUGGGGAGUUCUGGGGGCCAUAGGGUCUGCCUGAGUGUAGGAAUUGGAGACUGGGGGACUACAGGGAAGGGAGUCAGUGCCUGGGAGGGUGGGGUCUGAGUGUUUGGAGGGGCUGGAGAGGGUAGCAAGUUCUAGAGAAGUGGAAGGGCUUACAUUUAUAAGGAUGGGGCUUGUGGUGGGAUGGGUGGGGCUUGUGGUAGGAUGGGUGGGACUUGUGGCAGUCUGGACUAGGCCCAUACCACUGGGGGUAGGACUUGUAGUGGUGGGAGGUGACAUACUGGUUUUGUGGGUGGGACUUGUGGGGGUAUGGGUGGGGCUUGUGGAAGUAUGAGUGGGGCUUGCUGUGGUAUGGGUAGGGCUUGGCAUAGUGUGGGUGGGGCUUGUGGUAGUCUGGACUGGGCCUAUGAUAUUGAGGGUAGGGCCUGUAGUAGUAAGGGUAGAGAUUAUGGGCUUGUGGGUGGAGCCUGUAGUAGUGUGAGUGAGGGGGCUUGGAGCACUGUGGGUAGUGGUAAUGGCACUAUAGGUAGAGCCUGUAGUGGUGUGAGUGGGGCCUGGCAGUUCUGAAGGGCCAGAGUCUGUGGACUUAUGAACUGAGUCUAGGUGUGCAGAUGGGGCAGGGUCUGUAGAUGUGGGGACAGAGCCUGUUGUACCGAGGGUAGAGCUUGUGGCAGAGUGGCCAGGGUCCAGGGCAGGAGGAACAGGACUGGGGUGCUCUCCAUGGGUGGGAGCUGGGUGUGUAGGUGGGCUAGGUCCCCAGGCUAGGCUUUCUGGGCCAACGGCCUCCACUGAAGCCUCAGCCAAGGCAGCAUCUACACUAGCCUCACUGAUGUGGCUCAGAGUCCGACUGUAGGGUGCAUGCCCAUUUGCCAGGACUGGGGCCACGGCCCCCUCCUCAUCCAAGGGCCCAGAGCUGGGGGUCUCAGGCCUGCGGAAGGCAACUUGGAUGGGAAGGGGCUCGGGCUGCUGCACCAGGGGCCUAGGGGCUGGUGAGUGGCGGGCAGUGCCUGAGAGCUGUGGGCUGGAUGAGUCGUCUGAAGAUUCAGAUGACAGGGACCAUGCUGUCCCAUUCUCCAGCUCCUCCUGCCGUCGCAGCAUGUUCUGAGAAAGAGGAGAGGGCAUUUCAGAACCACCCCCAGGGAGCCUCUGGGGGAUGGUGAGGCCUGGACCUGGGCUAUGACUCACAUAGAAAGCCUGUUCCCGAAGUGAGGGUGUGUCCGGUGGGCUCUGGCUAUAGGUGGAGAAGCGCUUGGUGACUGUGGAGGCCUUGUUGACAGAAGAAGCAGCUGAGGGCUGGUCAUCCUUGUCGAAGGGGCUGGGAAGGGAAGAGGCUGUUGGCAGGUGCCACAGCCCUCCUGGCCCUCCUCCAAGCCUCUCAGCCCCACCAACCUCCAUGUGACUUCCAGGCUGAGCUUGAUGGUACCAAGGUCAUUGAUAUCCACAGCCACAACCUGGGGCAGGGCGGCAAACAGGUCCUUGGUCUCACAGGAGACACUGCCCACAACCACAUGGUUGGCCAGGCCCUUCAGUUCUGUCACCUGUAGCCAAGAGUGCAUGGUAGGGUCACAAGGGUGCAGGGGCUAUGAGAUCAUGGGAAAUCUGAGGUCUGAAUUUGCAUAGAACUUAUAAAAUGGUCAUGGGAGGCUGAGGCAGGAGGAUCACUUAAGGCCAGGAGUUCAAGACCAGCUUGGGCAACAUGGCAAGACUCUGUCUCAAAAAAAAAAAAAAAAAAAAUUUUUAGCCAGGCAUGGUGGUGCACCUGUAGUCCCAGCUACUUGGGAGGCUGAAGUGGGAGGAUGGGUUGAGCCCAGGAGUUUGAGACUGCAGUGAGGUAUGAUUGCACUGCUGCACUCCAACCUGGGUGACAGAGUGAGACCCGCCAACUCCUAGAUAGAUAGACAGACACAUGCAUGCUCAUGGAGCCAUGGAUGCUUGAAGCAGCCUGGGAGCAUGGGAAUCACAGAGGUCUGCAUGGUAGGGUCACUGAGGUCAUAGAGGUCACAGCCUCAUGGGAGCUUAGGAGGUCAAAUAUUCACAGGGUCAGAAGAUCAUGAGGAGGUCACAGGGUCAGGAAGCCAUGAUGUCCUAAGAGUCACAAAGAUUGUUCCUCUCAGGGCCACAGAGAUCAUGAAGGUCAUGGAAUCAUAUCUUCACAGGGCUAUGGAGCUAUGAGGGGAUCACAGGAGUAAGGGACUCAGGGUAAUGGGGGUCACAAGGGGUUCACAGGGCCAUGGUGGCCUGCCGUCCUGGGCAGAGACAUCACCUUAAUAGACAGAAAUUCCGUGAGUAGAGGGAGAAAGAUGGUUUCUUCACUGUCCCACACCUGCUUUCCACUACCCUCAAUUCGGCCCCGUAGUUUCCAGCGCUGACGCCCAUAUUUCAUGCAGAUCUGGGGGAACAGGUAGGAUGAGGCAGCCUAGGUGUUGGGACCCUACCGACCCAGCCCUUCCCUGCACAUUCUCAUACCUCAUACUGAUCGCCUACACACAGCCUGGCGAAGCCAGCCAGCCCUGAGUUGGAGGAGAAGGGGAGAAGUCGGUGAGCCAUAUUGGGGUUCUUCAGCAUACUCCCUCCAGCCCCCCACCUGCCCCCACAACUCAGUACCUUUCAUUCGGAGAUGAAACUCGCCCAGCUGUGCCUCCAGCUCGCUCUCCAGCAGACACAUGCUCUGGGAGGGAGGGGCAGGGACAGGAGGGGGUCAAGGGCCAGCCACUAGCCCUGCCACACCCUGUGCCUCUGCCUCAUGGGCCCCCAUCCCUCACCUCCGUGUACUCGCGAUGCCCCCGAGUGGCCUCUGCCAGGCUGUCCCGGGCCUCUCGGCUUCCCGGGGACCCAGUGGUGUAGGCACGGACCAUGUUGUAGGCACCAUCCCGGAGACGCCGCUGGACACAGUAUGCCUCAUACAGCUCAUCGAUCUGGGAAGGUGAGUGGGGUGACAGUAGGGGGACUGAGACUCACCUCUGGGGUUACUCACCUCUAAGGUUGCUCACCCAGGGCCUGGCACCACCCCUCUUCUCCCUAUGAUAUCCAACCCCCCACCCCACUCUGCACACAUGCUGCACUCGUACCUUGCUGGCAUGGAACUCCAGUCGUCGCAGGAAGCGUUCAAUGGACUUGACUUGCUGGGGGAGAGGUGGGUCAGGAGGGGCCUGAGGCCCAGGGUCCUUACCCUCCCUGUGAGCCAACCCCUUCCAGUACCAUUCCAUGCAUACUCACCUUGUCCAGAUCAUACAGGAAGCCCUGCAGGGGUGGGGAGAAGGGGCAAAUAUUUAGGAGGGAUGAGGAGGACUCCAGCAGAGGCACUCAGACUCGUCACAGCUCCCCUUUCUCACACCACAGUCCACAAGCACUCCUGUCACAGUAGCAACUGACGCCCCUUCCUGCUGGUCUAGCCCUUGGUGGAUGCUGGUAGCACAGAUCUGGUCCCUUCAGCCCCCUCCAGGACCCCUCCUUCCACCUCUUCCCUGGGAUUCCUUUUCCUGCAGCCGCCUGGGGAGAGCUCUCUGCUUCCUUGUGCAAGGUUCCCUCUGCAGGGGAACUCCCAUCAAGCCCCGGCAGAAGUGUUCCCUCCUCCAGGAAGCCCUAACCUCUUCCCAAGAAGCACCAUGCAGCAGUACCACUGCUCAGUACCACUGCAGCAGAAUCUCCUGCUGUCCAUGUCUGUAGGGGUCCCACCUACCCCACUGGAAGCUCCUGGAGCAGGUACUGAGUCCCAAGCAGAAAGUAUGCACAGCAAAGUUUGGGGAUAGAAAAGCCCCUCAGCCUUUCCUGAUAUCCCCUUUUCUACUCACACCUGAACCAGAUCACUUCAGAAAAUAGCCCAGAUAUCACCCAGGGCUGCCCUUGCCCAGCCCUCCACACCAAAGAGGCAAAGGGCAUCCGUACCUCCCGCCACUCACCAAGCGGGAAUUCCUCUUGGACUCCCUUAUCUGCCCCUGGAGUUUCUCUUGCUCCUGCUGGUGCACUUCCAAGUAGGCCCUGAGGAAAGGGGCGACCACAAGAAUGAACUCGGCUCUCCAGCCUCAUGCUGCCCAGGGUGCAGACAGCAGGGAGAGGGCAUGGGGCUGGAGAAGGUUCCUGCUAGCAGGAUGCGGGCUUGGGGAGGGAUCCCGGGACAGGGCUGGGAACAGAGGAGCUGCUCACGUCAGGCCCCGCUUCAGCGCCGUGUACACCAGGUCCAGCCGCUCGGGCUGCGGCACCUUGGCGGCUGGGUGAGCCACGGAAAACAUCCUGGACACUCGGGAGAGCGCGGGGGGCUUCCGUGGGGGCCCCGGCGGGCUGAAGACCGGGAAACUCCUGAAGGAGAGGCUGUCCUCAGAAAGAGGAGAGCAGGAGUCCCCCAGACUCUCACUACGCACCCCCAGACCCAGCCCCAUCUGACGCCCUUUGACCCCACCAACCCUGCGCGGCCGCGUACCUGGGCCCCCGCUCGUGGCUGCCGAGGACGCCUGCGAAGGACUGGCUCCUAUUGACCCGGGCGCUGAGCAGACGGCGCUGCGGCCGCACCGACAGGGACAUCAUAGAGUGAGUCCGCGCGGGGCUCCCUGCGGGUGAUCGGGGGGGUGUCCAGUACCAGUCGGAUCCCCGAAGCCCUCUCCCACGCAGCGGGAUCCAGGGCUGGCGCAGGUCUUUCCUGUCGCUAGGCACAGCUGCCCCAGCGGGCUCCGGCCGGGUCCGCCUAGUCCCGCCGACCCGGGCACUAAUGACAGGACAGCCGCAGGCGACUCGGCCUCGGACUCAGCGUGGCCUCGGCUCGGCCCCCACUUCCUGCCGAGGUGCGGGCUCCGCCUGCCGCGGGGCAGGAAGGGGGGUCGCGCGGGGACCCUCCUCC